rnacentral:lncRNA from 1 species
CGUCUGAAUCUAUAGCUCCAGAGAAAAUAGAGAAAGCGGUUUCCAUUUCUUACACUCUUGGCUCCUGCAGGCUUCCAUCAUUGCCGCUGCUGCUGUCACCACUACUACCACUGCAGGGUUGCCUAGAAGCCGAUGAUCACUGUAAAGUUCCCCAAUGAAUUAAGUUUGGGCCAGGAGAUACUAAAGGAUACAAAAAUGGCAGACUCACUGCUGUUCUGGAGAACGUUCUCUGCAGUCUCCUCUUCAAAUACGGCUCUUGGCUAUGCUUGUGAAUUUUGUGAAUAUACAAUUAUUUCAAAUUAAAUACUAACUGAAUGUGGCUAUAUUGUGUUUAUACAUGUACAGAAAAACACGGUGAUUGAUUAUAUUGUUAAAUUGUCA